CUCCGAAAGUGGCAAAAGCGAUUACCAAGUUCCUGUGCUGAACAUGACUGCAUUGCCCAAAAUUAUUUUGGUUCCAUGGGGAGUGUUCGUUCACACCAAACGAUGCCUGCGAAGAGCCUCUCGGCGAAACAGCUUUCCGAAGAGCUCUCCUCAUUGCAAUGGGUUGCAGAAGCUGACGGCACCCAGAAGGGUCACUCGAGCUAGGGCUCCACCGUCAGGGUUCGCCUCUUGCUGUGAGACUGUCAAGUAGAGCUGAUGUAGACACAUGACCGCUUCUCCUCCAGGCAGCCCCGGAUGCCCUCUCCUUCCCCACUGCAGAUAUUAAUCAACUGUCUUAGAGCCCUUGCAAAACCCUUCAGGGACAGCUCCACAGGCCGCAGACGAAGCCAGGAUCUCUACGUUCUAUGCACUUCUUGC